GAAGUCAUGUGUCCCUAGAAGGUGCUGGGCAGCCUCCUGCAUGGCCUCUACAUCCAAGCAGCUGCAGGGAGACAGUGCCCAGCAUCGGUUUCGUUCAAACACAGACAGCUGAUCGGGCCGGUGGCAGCCGGUGGCCAGGCGGUACAGUUCUGUGCAGACACCAAGUCCUUCCUGACUCGUGGUCUCCACCCACAGUGGACCAGUUUGGAGACA